rnacentral:lncRNA from 1 species
UCCGUGGGCGCUUUAGGUCCCACCCACGUACUUCCAGGUGCACGUGAUACUGAUGGGGAAGGGUCGGCUGAUUGCUGCCAGGUGCUGACCACCUCCUCUUGGUAGUGCUGUCUGAAAUAACUGGCAAAGUAGAAGCACAUUUCCUGGCUCCUUUUCCCACUUCCUGAAUUGGAGGGUUCACCACCUUAGCCUGUUUCCUUUCGUGUGUCACUGUGGUCCUGGGUCCUCUGCUGCUUUCUCUCAAGGAAACGAGCCCGUGCAUCAGAUAUGGAUUUGUCAUCAUUUCUUCUUUGCAUUUUCUUUAAGACGUCUUUCGAUAUUCCAUCUGAAAAGGAAAAGUUGGAGUAGUUCCUCCCUCCUGGGACGUGCAUCCUUUCUCUUCUGUAAUAACAGAAAAACA